rnacentral:lncRNA from 1 species
CCUCUUGUGUUAAAAACUAGAUAUCUCUAAACCACACCGUUAGAUUAUCACAAAAUUUUGUAUACACUUAGUACACUCAAUAAUAAAAAUAAUAUUCAAUUUUCAACCAUAGAUGUUACACCAAUUGCACGAACUAGCCAAAAUUACUAGCCUUAAUUAUAUUAUAUAAAAUCCAAAUCACUAAUACAAACUCUGAUUUUGAACAACAAAUUUUAAGUCCUCUAAAAUCCUUUCAAAAUAAUUCUUAUGACUCUAGAAAGAAUUUUAAGCUAGCUCUCAAAUCCUAAUCUUUGAUUUUUGAAUGAUCCUUGAAUUUGCCCUCAACGGUCAUUUCACUAAUCAGAGGUCUGAUUUUGUCCCUGUCUCACA